rnacentral:misc_RNA from 1 species
CCGAAGGUGGGGCUGAUGACUGGGGUGAAGUCGUAACAAGGUAGCCGUACCGGAAGGUGCGGCUGGAUCACCUCCUAACAGGGAGACAAAAACUGAUUGUGAUGUCUAAGUAAAUUAUCCUUAGGCCAUAAUCCUGUCACCUUAGGUCGAUCGGUACCUCAAGUUUCUUGUGAAAAUAACUGAGCAAUUAGUUAUUAAGACUUGCAAUUAACUUCAGUUCCUAAACUUUGUCUAGGUCACACCCAACGAGGGUACUCCUGGGCCAUUAGCUCAGGUGGUUAGAGCGCACCCCUGAUAAGGGUGAGGUCCCUGGUUCAAGUCCAGGAUGGCCCAUUCGGUGUUGGGGGUAUAGCUCAGUUGGUAGAGCGCCUGCUUUGCAAGCAGGAUGUCAGCGGUUCGAGUCCGCUUACCUCCACUGAUCAACCACCUCCUUAUAACGAAGUUAAGGAGAUUUCAUCGUUAGAUGUGAUUUAGACUUUUAUUAGAUUGAACGGACCCUAGCUUCCUUUCAUUCCUACCCUGAUAACAAAUUCAGAUGAGGUUGAAAAGAUGCUGGGCUCACUACAUUUAAAAAUGUAGUUGAAGUUCAGCUAGAACCUUGACAACUGCAUAGGUGAGUUUGGAAAGAAUAAAGCAUCUCAUGGACACUUUAUUCAUCUAAACAGAUUAAUAUAUUGCUUAGGCUUUAUAUUAUUUGUUUUAAGCGAAUAUUGAUUGAUUCUUGAGCAAGAGCUGAGACUCUAUAAUUAACUCUUAUUUAAGUGAUUAGUUAUAGAGAUUUUGGUCAAGCUACAA